rnacentral:rRNA from 1 species
UACAGAGGUCUCAAGCGUUUGUUCGGAUUCAUUGGGCGUAAAGGGUGCGUAGGUGGCGCUGUAAGUCAGGUGUGAAAUUUCGGAGCUUAACUCCGAAACUGCAUUUGAUACUGCGGUGCUCGAGGACUGGAGAGGAGACUGGAAUUUACGGUGUAGCAGUGAAAUGCGUAGAGAUCGUAAGGAAGACCAGUGGCGAAGGCGGGUCUCUGGACAGUUCCUGACACUGAGGCACGAAGGCCCAGGGGGAGCAAAACGGGG